GAACUUAAGCAUAUCAAUAAGCGGAGGAAAAGAAACUAACAAGGAUUCCCCUAGUAACUGCGAGUGAAGCGGGAAAAGCUCAAAUUUAAAAUCUGGCGUGCCUCUGGUCGUCCGAGUUGUAGUUUAGAGAAGCGUUUUCUGUGUUGGACCGUGUAUAAGUCUCUUGGAACAGGGCGUCAUAGAGGGUGAGAAUCCCGUCUUUGACACGGACUACCAAUGCUUUGUGAUACGCUCUCAAAGAGUCGAGUUGUUUGGGAAUGCAGCUCAAAAUGGGUGGUAAAUUCCAUCUAAAGCUAAAUAUAGGCGAGAGACCGAUAGCGAACAAGUACCGUGAGGGAAAGAUGAAAAGCACUUUGGAAAGAGAGUUAAACAGUACGUGAAAUUGCUGAAAGGGAAACGCUUGAAGUCAGUCACGUCUGCCAGGACUCAGCCUUGCUUCUGCUUGGUGUACUUUCUGGUUGGAUGGGCCAACAUCGAUUUCGGCCGUUGGAGAAAGGCUUUGGGAAUGUGGCACCUUCGGGUGUGUUAUAGCCCUUUGUCGUAUACAACGGUUGGGAUCGAGGACUGCAGCAUGCCUUCAUGGCCGGGGUUCGCCCACGUACAUGCUUAGGAUGUUGGCAUAAUGGCUUUAAGCGACCCGUCUUGAAACACGGACCAAGGAGUCUAACAUGCCUGCGAGUGUUUGGGUGGAAAACCCACGCGCGUAAUGAAAGUGAUAGCUGAGAUCCUCUCAUCAGGAGCAUCAGCGCCUGGACUUGAUCUACGGAGACGGUUCUACGGUAGAGCAUGUAUGUUGGGACCCGAAA
rnacentral:rRNA from 1 species